GCCUAAAGCGUCCGUAGCCGGCUCUGUUAGUUUUCGGUUAAAUCCAUAUGCUCAACAUAUGGGCCGCCGGGAAUACUACAAAGCUAGGGAGUGGGAGAGGUAGACUGUACUCCGUAGGAAGGGGUAAAAUCCUUUGAUCUAUGGAUGACCACCAGUGGCGAAGGCGGUCUACCAGAACACGUUCGACGGUGAGGGAUGAAAGCUGGGGGAGCAAACCGGAUUAGAUACCCGGGUAGUCCCAGCUGUAAACUAUGCAAACUCAGUGAUGCAUUGGCUUGUGGCCAGUGCAGUGCCGCAGAGAAGUCGUUAAGUUUGCCGCCUGGGAAGUACGUACGCAAGUAUGAAACUUAAAGGAAUUGGCGGGGGAGCACCACAAGGGGUGAAGCCUGCGGUUCAAUUGGAGUCAACGCCAGAAAUCUUACCCGGAGAGACAGCAGGAUGAAGGUCAAGUUGAAGCCUUUACCAGACAAGCUGAGAAGUGGUGCAUGGCCGUCGCCAGCUCGUGCCGUGAGGUGUCCUGUUAAGUCAGGUAACGAGCGAGAUCCUUGCCUCUAGUUGCCACCAUUACUCUCAGGAGUAGUGGGGCGAAUUAGCGGGACUGCCGUAGUUAAUACGGAGGAAGGAGAGGGCCACGGCAGGUCAGUAUGCCCCGAA
rnacentral:rRNA from 1 species